rnacentral:rRNA from 1 species
UUGAGCCUACGGGGGGCAGCAGUGAGGAAUAUUGGUCAAUGGGCGAGAGCCUGAACCAGCCAAGUCGCGUGAAGGAUGACGGCCCUACGGGUUGUAAACUUCUUUUGUCAGGGAGCAAUUGGGUCCACGCGUGGGCUUAGCGAGAGUACCCGAAGAAAAAGCAUCGGCUAACUCCGUGCCAGCAGCCGCGGUAAUACGGAAGGUCCGGGCGUUAUCCGGAUUUAUUGGGUUUAAAGGGAGCGUAGGCCGCAUGUCAAGCGUGCUGUGAAAUGUCCGGGCUCAACCCGGGCCUUGCAGCGCGAACC